GGUCGCUUAGCUCAGUGGUUAACCUUCGGGUUAGAGCAUCCCAGCACAAAUGGGAAGGUCCUGGGUUUGAUUCCCAGAGUGACCA